GAAAAUAUUAUAUGUAAGUAAUAAUAAUUUGCAACACUUAGUUCUUAAAGGGGAAUUGUCACAUCCAGUAUUUUUAUUAUUAUGUUUACUUAUCUAUAUUUAGUAGAUAUGUGUUUGUGGGAGAUAAAAAAACAACUUUUUUUCCUGUAAAUAGGCACCUCCAUUUUAGCUCUCUGUCAGUCAUUCUUAUGAUCUGUAUCCUUUGCACCUGGCAAUCAGCAUAGAAAAAGGCGAGGAGGAGAAAGUGAUGAGGAGAAAUGAAACAAUGUAUGUAUUUUUCCGCCUCAUUUGCAAAGUGUGCC